rnacentral:rRNA from 1 species
AAGCCCAUGGGGCGCAGCAGUAGGGAAUCUUCGGCAAUGGGCGAAAGCCUGACCGAGCAACGCCGCGUGAAUGAAGAAGGCCUUCGGGUCGUAAAAUUCUGUUAUAAGGGAAGAAAGGUGAUAGGAGGAAAUGACUAUCAAUUGACGGUACCUGACUAAGAAGCCCCGGCUAACUACGUGCCAGCAGCCGCGGUAAUACGUAGGGGGCAAACGUUAUCCGGAUUUACUGGGUGUAAAGGGAGCGUAGACG